rnacentral:misc_RNA from 1 species
CCUCCUUUCUAAGGAUAUUGAUAUCUAGUUCGCUAGAUAUCCGGGUUGUUGUCUAUUUAUCUCUUUAUAAUAUUAGCUAAGUGCUAGGUGUUUCCUUAAUCAAACUGGGCCGGUAGCUCAGUUGGUUAGAGCGCGCGCUUGAUAAGCGUGAGGUCGGAAGUUCAAGUCUUCCUCGGCCCACCAUUUAUUCAAGGGGGAUUAGCUCAGCUGGGAGAGCGCCUGAUUUGCAUUCUGAGGGUCGCAGGUUCGAUUCCUGUCGCCUCCACUUUUUAUUCCUUCGGGAAAUUGGUUCUUUUACAUGCUUUAUGCGCAUAGAGAUGGUGGUAGCCGCAAUGUCGAUAAAAUUCUCGCAAGAGAGUUUAUAUCGAGAG